AACGAACGCUGGCGGCAUGCCUAACACAUGCAAGUCGAACGAGACCUUCGGGUCUAGUGGCGAACGGGUGCGUAACGCGUGGGAACCUGCCCUUAGGUUCGGAAUAACUCCCCGAAAGGGGUGCUAAUACCGGAUAAUGUCUUCGGCCCAAAUGUUUAUCGCCUUUGGAUGGGCCCGCGUUGGAUUAGCUAGUUGGUAGGGUAAAAGCCUACCAAGGCGACGAUCCAUAGCUGGUCUGAGAGGAUGAUCAGCCACACUGGGACUGAGACACGGCGCAGACUCCUACGGGAGGCAGCAGUGGGGAAUAUUGGACAAUGGGCGAAAGCCUGAUCCAGCAAUGCCGCGUGAGUGAUGAAGGCCUUAGGGUUGUAAAGCUCUUUUACCCGGGAUGAUAAUGACAGUACCGGGAGAAUAAGCUCCGGCUAACUCCGUG
rnacentral:rRNA from 1 species